UACGUAGGGGGCAAGCGUUGUCCGGAAUUAUUGGGCGUAAAGAGCGCGUAGGCGGUCCGAUAAGUCGGCUGUGAAAGUCAGGGGGCUCAACCCUGGAAUGUCCGGUGGAUACUGUCGGGCUAGAGUCCGGAAGGGGCGAGUGGAAUUCCUGGUGUAGCGGUGAAAUGCGCAGAUAUCAGGAGGAACACCAAUGGCGAAGGCAGCUCGCUGGGACGUGACUGACGCUGAGACGCGAAAGCGUGGGGAGCAAACAGG
rnacentral:rRNA from 1 species